rnacentral:rRNA from 1 species
UACGGAGGGUGCAAGCGUUAUCCGGAUUUACUGGGUUUAAAGGGAGCGUAGGUGGCCUUAUAAGUCAGUGGUGAAAUCUCUGGGCUUAACCCAGAAAUUGCCAUUGAUACUGUAGGGCUUGAGUAUAGAUGCCGUUGGCGGAAUAUGACAUGUAGUGGUGAAAUACAUAGAGAUGUCAUAGAACACCGAUUGCGAAGGCAGCUAACGAAACUAUAACUGACACUGAGGCUCGAAAGUGUGGGGAUCAAACAGG